rnacentral:lncRNA from 1 species
UUUUUUUUUUUUUUUUUGCUGAACACACAAAACAAACUCACACAAUAAUCUCCACCACUAAUGGCAGCAUUCGAAAAGCCCACAGAUACCCAAAAUGUUCUGCUUAGUGCUUAUUAUUUUCAAAGAAAUAACAGCAAAAAGAUUGACAAUAAGCUUCGCAGCAGGAAGAGUUUGCUGGCCAAGAAAUCCAGCAGUUGCAUUGGAUCUGCGUUCAACAGGUGCCAACACAACGAAACAGAAACCUCAAACACUCACAACCAGGGCAACACUUGUCCCGAAAACAGCCUCCAUUGGUAUAAGCACAUGCAUUUUCUCCGUGGCCAUCCUUAAUCCCAAACACUUUAAUGAGUUUUUCGUCCUGAAGCAAUUUAAGAGUAAAAUUGUCCGUGCAACCUGUUCAAAAUGGACACUAGCUUCUUUUCCACUCUUUUGUACUGCAUUUUUCAAGUCCUUUCUAUGAGUGCAAUUGAUUUUAUGAUCAGUACGCAAAGGAUUUAUACUUUGGGAAAGGAAAUGUUUUCUGCAUCUUAUGUGAUUUCUUGGAUAAGUGGACUGACUUUGUUAUAUUGAUAUUUAAAAUAGAAGAGUUACGUGUAAUAUUCAAAACUUUAAAGGAGACAAAUGAAAUUAUCACAAACCUAAGGGAGGAGCAUGAAAUCAUGCCUAAUAUGAAUAUAAAGAAACCAUGAGUAUGACAAUUAAAUGAAACUAAGAAAUUAGUAAAAAUAAAUGAAACUAAUGAAAAGGUGGUAUAGAAAGAUAAACGAGAUUAAUUAUUAACUAUGAGAAUAUGACGAAUAAAUGAAUCUUGUUAAAAAAAGAUUCAAUAGCCAUGUGACAAAGUCUCCAAAUAACUGCUUACCCCCAUCCCAGCCCCCCUGCCCCCAACACAAAUUAUUAAAAAAAAAAAAAAAAAGGUUCUAAAUUAGAAAUGGCCAAUUUGAGCGAGACUUCCCAAGUACGCUGGAGAUGCGUAAAUCGGAUUAGGGUGUACUGGUCUAUCAAAACCGCAUUUAGCAGCCACUUCUAGGAAAAGGGUCAGGACUUAGAAGCUCCUAAAUUAGGUACCUUUCAGUCUAGCUAAUGAUGAUGAUUGGAUUAGCCUCCUUUCCCACGGCAAAUUUUCCACUCGUAAGCUUUCUUAAUUACUCUAUAAACCAUGUAAGUUGGUGCAACAUUAAAAGCUUCACAGUUGUGCAUGCAUGCAACAAGUUCUGAAACUUGAGGGGAAGAGGGGGGGGGGGGAGAGCAGAUCCUCUGUCCAAUUUUUUGCGUCCAAUUUCCUGUCCAAUAUGAAACUACGUAGUUUCAUUUAUUAUAUCUGCUGAUGUGGCAACUAAAAAUAGGUGGCUGUUUGGCUGCCUUAUACUUCUUUUUCUUUCUUCUUUUUUGGAUUUCCUUUGUUUACACAACUUUGUUACGAUUCUCAUCUUUUUUAAAACAAAGUAUCAAGGAUUUCAAAUACAAAAGAAUAUUUAAAAAAAAUGGGAAUUGUAAUAAAGUUGUGUAAACAAAGGAAAUCCAAAAAAUAAAAAGAAGUAUAAGGCAGCCAAACAGCCACUUAUUUUUAAUUGCCACAUCAACAGAUAUAAUAAAUAAAACUACGUAGUCUCACAUUGGACAGAAAAUUGGACACAAAAUAUUGGACAGAGGAUCUGCUCUCGGGGGUGGGUGGGGAAGGGGGAAGGGGAUUUCUGAUUUUGGGAAAUGAGACUAGGAAAUAUACUGGUGUAAAAAAAAAAUACUGGAGUCUGAUUCUUAAAUUAGUUAUUAUUUUGAUGGCUUUAUUAUAUAUUCAGAACUGAGAAAAGCAUUUAUCAGGAACAAGUACAAAUCAAUGAAGAAAUCAUAUUGAAAACGCUCCUAACCCUACCCCAUCCUUCGUAGACCCGUGAAUUCUAACUAAUCUAAACUUUCCUGGAGCUCCACUUCCUUGAUUUUUUUUUCCCACUUCCUUGAUUUCCAAUUGAAGGAGGAACUCUAUCCAUGGCAGAAAGUUCAUAGACUCGAGUAUAUCAAACAUGAGAUGUAGUAUGUUGCUUUGUGGAACAAAAGUGAAGAGCUAAAGGCUACCCUUUGAUCUUGGGAGAUCAAACUGUAGUAAGUUGUCCUCAAUCGGAUGCGCGCCAAUGACAAUUGAGGUCUUCGGCAAAGAAGCAGAACGAGCAUAAUCCACGAAACCAAGACGCAUGACAUCCAAAACCAUCAAGUUUGCACCAGAAAUCCUCCACUGCACACUUUUCUUAUGGAGCACAAGAUCAAUUGGAGGUACCUGUGGACCGACUUUCAAGCUAGGAAUGCCUCUGAAGCAUGCCUCAAAAGGUGCCACUGGGGUCACUCCAGUGACACUAGGGGGAAGUUCUCUAAUGAAAGCUGCUUUCACAGCCAUGUAAAUGGAAUGGAAGUCUCUCAGACAGUAUAAGGAUCAACUGUGCUGCUUUUAGUUCCUCCAUUGCCAUCAUUGUCGAAGGACAGAAAUGUUGCAUUCAAUGGCACUGCUUUACCACUGACUCUGAUAGAUUUCACCCCAAUUAAGUAGUCAGAGAAAACUCUCUGUCCACCAUAUCGCGUACGAAUUGGAUUCGAGAGCAAUGGGGCGUACGUAAAUCAAAGACUUGGAGAUAUCAAUGGUAUGGGAAAGCAUAAGAUUAUUGGGCAAAUCACCGAAAACUAUGAAGCCACUGGCUUUGACCGAAGAGCUUAAACAAAUAGCAAAUUUCCUUUGGAAACUAGAAGUCUGAGUUAAUUGCUUUGGAAGAGAAACUAAGCUUCUUCCCAACCCUGCCAUUCCUUCAACUCCUCUAGCUAGAUUGUUGGUGUAUUUUAAUAAAAUCUUAACUUUUUCCUUGACCAAAUCUUUACAAGGAGUUAUAAUAAUUUAUUUGGGAGUUAUGGGAAUUAUAAUUGUGGGAGUUACAAUGCAUUUUGAAUGGAGUUAUUGUACAAUUAUUUGAAUUAGAGUUACAAAUGAAUUAUUUGUUCAAAUGAGAAAUUAUUGAGUCAUUAUAAGCCAUUCAAAUGUGAAUUAAUUUUUAGGUUACAAAUUCUACCAAUUAUUAGGUUACAAAUUCUACCAAUUAACUACAAUUUAAUAUGAAAAAACCGUUACACAUUGGAUUUCCUUUUCUUAAGGUUUUGUAGCCUAUAAAUAGUGAAAUUCUCCAAAGAAUUUGACACACACCUCUCUCAACAAAAUAUCAUUCUAGAUACUAUUUUUCUCACACUCAUUUCUUUCUCCCUCAUUCUAUUUUCUUUGGGCAAAGUAAGAUAUUGGGAAGCUUCUGCUUCUCUUGGUUGUGCAGAUCAAAGGGAAGCAACAACUAUAGAGUUGGGCUGUUGUAUCCUGGAGACGGCGUGCUAGACCUUCUGCAUCAGUUUAAAAAAUACCGUAGGGGCGCGUAUCGUCUUAAAGAGAGCGUUCUACGCGCCUCAACCCUACCGAACUUUUUAGUAGCUGUCAAUUCAAGGUAGUCGGAUUGAAGAUCAGAAGCUGUUCAUCCAAUAAUUUUAAGAUUUAGUUCGCGCAUCAACCCAUGCCAAAAUAACUUUUGAUGGUACCAAUUAUUUGCAUUUAUUUAAUGCAAUAUUGAGGUAUGAGAUUUUGUUAAUUUCUUUGUUAAAUUUUACCAGAGAAAUUACUAUUACUUAUAUGGUUAAUUUGGUCUAGUACCAACAUAGAUUAUUCCCAAGAAACCAUGUAGGCACACAAGUGAAGACAAAGGGUGGAACCGAAACAGAUUGCCCUGUGGUGGAUUGACUUGAGAGAACAUCUUCAGCAGCCUCACCACCGCUGUAGGAAGUUCCGUUGACCAAAUUAACCGGAAAUGUGCAGUACUAUGAAGGACCACUCACAAAGCAGCUAUCUCCACAAGCAAUAGAUCUAACCAGAAUACUAUGGGCUGAGUGGCAGUUCACACUCUUAUAAGAUGAGUUUUUGUAGCCUUCUUCACAAAUCACAACCCACCCAUACCGAUUCUCCACCUAGAUCAGCAGUUAGUUUUACGAGGACUAGGGGUGUCCUUUGGUGAAUAAGGGUGGUGUACUGAAGUGCGGAGGAGUCUUUGGUCACGGGGAGGAUAAGUGCUAUCGUUAGUCAUCUCAGUCAAGUCAAUAUCGGAACGGAGGGGAUUAAUAUGAUAUCGAUCCCCGAAUCGUGGAUAACUUUAUAUCCGUGGAGACUCGCUCUGACGCGACUGAUAUUAACCAAUUCAAAUCCGUAAUAUAUGGAAUCGACCAAACUAUUCAAAUCGACUGGAGUCGACUUGGAUAUUUUUUUCAAAUUAUGCCCUUUAGGAUAUUUUCUAUUUUUAGUAAUUUUUUCCAAAAGUUUUGGAAAUUUUAUGUGCUAUAGUAUGUGUAUCAUUAGAAAUAUAACCGAUAUGCUGCAACGGGUGAAACAACCACAACCGCGACCCGUAACGGCGAACCAUGUUUGGGCCGGAAAGAUGUUUUGGCUAUGGAUGGAGUGCUGAUAAGCAGUAAUAGGAGAAGAAAGCAGAGGGAAAAAGGAGAAAUGCCAUAAUGCAAAGCCAUAUGGCAAUUGGGACAAUAGGGAAGGUGGCUAUGGUGGAUUACAUGUUAUAUGUAGAUGUACGCAGAUCAGGUUGGUUGGUAACUACUAUUUCUUGUAUUUUCACACGUUACUGUCUUAUCGUCUAUAUUUAUUUGUGUUAGCGUAUACUAUAUUAUUUCGUCUACUAAUGACUGACAAUUGAAGAGGCCCGGGAUCCAUUUGUAAACAUAGCCUUAGGAAGAAUGAAGUUUUCCUCAUUUUGGUCAAGAAAUUAGAACUGGUCUACAAUUUAUUAUCCACCAACAGUGCAGAAUAAAUAGAUAUACAAAUAGGAGGAUAAGGAUAAGUAACUCAGCACGCCAUCGCUGCCCAUUGUCCACUGAGUUGUGGAUCUCGGGGGAGAUUAACGCCCAUAAAAGUGCUAAACAAUGAGGCCAUGAGAUUUGGUUCCCGGCAUAUCAUUAAAGGUUCCCGUUUUAGGAACAAGCUACAAACUCAUGAAAAUCAAUGCACUGCUUAGUAUGUUAAGGGUGGAGACAAUUAUCUAGAUCCUAGUGUCUAAUGACUGGAGGAUCUUGAGGUAACACUUAAAAAAUAGGUAAACAAUUGAGGCAAUAAUGUUGUUGAUCGUCUAGGCCAUGAGAUUUGGGUCUGGACUUUACUAGUUGAAACUUCCAAUUUGGGAAAGAAGACGUUCUAGUUGCAAACUCAUUAAAAUCAUUGCACUAGUCAAUAUGUUAAGGCAGGAGCAUAUUUGUAUAUCAGGGACUUGGUGCAGGUACAGUCUAAAGUUUUCGUAUGCAUAAUUUUGUGUAUACUUCAAUAACUUGUUACACGUACUUGUAAAGUUUUUUCGUAUACACCAACUCAUGCAUGAACAUAAUCGUAUAGGCAAGUGUGCAUUAUAUUUUGAAAGAGGAACAACAGCAGCAGCACCUAAUUCUUGUUUCACAAUGAUUUUCAUUUUUUUUAAAUGUAAAUGGUAGAUUUCGAACCCAAAAUCUCUUACUUCUACUUUAUCCUCCUAUACAACCCAACCCAUUCAUCUCCCUGUAUAUCCGAUGCAUUGACUGUAUCAUAAAAUAUCUGCUUCACAAAGUUUAUAGUUUAAUCACUUUAUUCCCUAUGUUUGACAUGUGUCAGCGUAGUAUGUACAAUUUUCAAUAAGUUGAGGGAAAAAAUCAUCAAACCAGCAUUAAAACAAAUGCAUUUUUAAAGAAUACAUUUGUUUGGGUAAUUGGGACAACAUGAUUUUCUCUCGCAAUCCAUGUAUUCUUGUAGAUGAAAUAUUUUCCGUACUGAAAUCAUAUUUGACACCAAGAAGUUAUUUUGAGUAAUUGAUCAAUAUUUAGAAAACAAUUCAGUCAUUUUGUUAAGGAAAUUUUUAGCUAUGAACAUGCAAGGUAAAAGAUUAUAUUUACUGAAAAACAAUUUUGGCAAGGAUUUGGCAAAUAAUAAUGGUGGGUACUGGUUUGUUCAUAUAUAUGAUUUUGGUUUAGCAAAUGUUGGGCCUGAAAUAUGGAGAAGGAAAUGAGAAACUCACCAUCAGCGACCAAGGCCCAUUGGAUUUUACUGCUAGUUCCAAGAUUUAAAUCUUGGACCUGGGUAGUGGUGGGUGGAAAUUGGGAAAGAAUUGAGGUGAGAUGACAGGUUAAAAAAAAAAAAAGCUUAAACAAAAAAUAAUAAUAAUUCAAAAUUUUCUAAUAGAUGUCUAGUAGGUAAUCGUUAAUACAUUUAAAUUAUACCCAAUUUAUUAUAUGAAAGCACACCUGAAGCCCUUCUUAAGGGGUACCCAUUUGGCACCUGUUAGUCAAAUCUUUUCUUUCUUUCUUUUUUUUUUUAGUAAGGGAUGGUAGCUUGAUCUCAAAUUAUGUACAAACUAGUGCUAAGGGCAUAGAUUAUGUCUAGGCAAAAUAAAACAAAGAAUUGAGAUGAAACUAAGAUAUGUAACAAAAGCAGUUACUCGAAACAUUUAUUAUUUUGAGCAUCAAUUGCAACAAAAUGUCUAACUCUCAUUGUUGAUCUUAUAAAUAAAUUAGAAUUGAAAAAUGAACCAAACUACUCGAUACUCAAAUCGAAUUUAGCUUGGUAAGAGUUCAUUGGAAUUUGGUUCACCAACUAUUCAUCCCAAAUUUGAACAGCGUUCUACGUUCGAUGACAUUUAAAUUCGAUAAAAUGCUCAUUCAAAUUCAGUUCACAUAUAAACAAGUCAAGUUUGAACAAAUUUUCAAACUCAUUAAGAUAAUCAAAACAAGUUUGAACACUAGGGUGUUUGUUUAUACCCCUAAACUAAGUUAAGGGAGUACCUCUCUUCCGCCCACUAGCUCUGCAAGAGAUAGAAGUACUAGAUAUAGAUUUUACAUAUGAAUAGUGAUGAAGUUACAUUUUAUGUAUGUGCAUACAAUAAAAUUGGGAUUAACUUUAUAUGCACUGAUAAUGUAUAUAAUAUCACCAUUAGAUGAAUGACACACAUGUAAAAUUUAGUUUCAAAUUCAAAAUCAGAUUAGUUAUCAUACAUCCAACGAUAAUAGUGAAUGCACUAUUAGUGUAUAGACGAUUAAUCUAUAAAAUUAUAAUUAUUUGUAAAUUUUAAAUUAAUAUUAUUAAAUUUUAAACUUUGAAACCUCAAAGUUUUGGGUCUCAAUUUUAAUCAAUAAAUCACGUCAUCUUUGGCAUAAAACCACUAAAAUUGGUAAAUAUUGUAGCUUGAUAUCAAAUUAUGUACAAACUAGUGCUAAGGGCAUAGAUUAUGUCUAGGCAAAAUAAAACAAAGAAUUGAUCUGAAAUUGAGAUAUGUAACAAGGGCAGUUACUCGAAACAUUUGUUAUUUUCAGCGUCAAUUGCAACAAAAUGUCUAACUUUCAUUGUUGAUCUUAUAACUAUGUUAGGAUUGAAUUGAAAAAUAAAUCAAACUACUCAAUACUCGAAUCGAACUCGGUUUGGUAAGAACUCAUUCGAGUUCGAUUCACCAACUAUUCAAUCCAAAUUUAAACAGUGUUUUAUGUUCAAUAAUAUUCAAACUCGAUAAAAUGCUCAUUCAAACUCGGUUCGCAAAUAAACAAGCCAAACUUGAACAAACUUUUAAAUUCAUUAAAAUAAUCAAACAAGUUUGAAUACUAGGGUAUUCGUUUACACCCCUAAACUAAGUAAAAGAAGUAACUCUCUUCCACCCACUAGUUCCGCAAGGGAUAAAAGUAUUAGAUAUAGAUUUUACGUUUGAAUAGUGAUGAAAUUACACUUUAUGUAUGUGCAUACAAGAAAAUUGGGAUUAACCUUAUAUACACUGAUAAUGUAUAUAAUAUUAUCAUUAGAUGAAUGACACACAUGUAAAAUUUAGUUUCAAAUUCAAAAUCAAAUUAGCUAUUAUACAUUAAACGGUAAUAGUAUAUGUACUAUCAGUGUAUAGAAGAUUAAUCUAUAAUAUUAUAGUUAUUUGUUGAUUUUAAUUUAAUAGGAGUUAGUUUUACAUUUUAAAAACUAAUUUGUUAAGAAGUUUAUAAAAAUAUAAAUAUAUAGAUGUACAAUUUUUUGGUAGUUAUAUAGGAUCACUAGCGGAACAAAGACGGGCAGAGAGGGUAGUCGCCUCCCCAGAAGUUUGAGAAUUCUUAUUUUGCACUUCUAUUUUACCUUAUUGUGUUGAUAUUUAGUUUUUGCCGCCCCAAACUUGAUAACUUUUGAGUCUAUUAAUUACAUGCUUUGCUUUCUAGUAUAAUUAAUUUAUGAGUAAAAAUUCUUUAAGAUAUUUAAUAACUAUCAUCUUAGAUUUUGAGCUAUAUCUUACAGUAACUAAUAUAAUGUAUUUGACUUUAAUCUUUAUGCUGACAAAAAAUAUUUUAAUUUAGUAUUUCUUCAUUAACAAACAAAAAAUUAUAUUCAGUCUUGGAAAAGAAAUUUGAAUAGUACAUAUAAAUUUAGGAUAGCUGAAAAUUGGGUUAAAGAUAAAGCAGCGCUUGAGGAUUGAGUUACUAGAGCAAAAAAAUAGGGUACUCGAUACAUUUCAAUUAUAACACACACAGAGGUAUAUAUAUAUAUAUAUAUAUAUAUAUAUAUAUAUAUAUAUACACACAUACAUAGUAUCACAAUUUUAUUGUGAGUCUGUUAUAAAGAUCUCUAAUUUUUUUUAAUUAAUGAACAUGUUAUUGUCCUAUGAUCCCACCCCCCCCCCCGGCCCCAAAGCCCAGUCCCGAAGUUGAAAUUCUGGUUCCACUAGUAUAUAUUGAUGGUAACUAACAUUAUUUAUAAUUUCUCUUUUUUUUAAAAAAAAUAAGGUCUGACCAUUGUAUAUUUGCUUGUAAGAGUAAAAUAAGAACUUCAAAAGAUGGCAAAAAUGAUAACACCAUAAGUCUCCUUAAACUUUAUAAAUAACAUUUUAUUAAAUUUAAAAGGACUAAGGGUCUGUUUGGUUGGAAGUAAAAUGUUUUUCUUAGGAAAAUAUUUUCCGUGGAAGUAAUUUUCCAUGAAAAUCAUUUCCCUUUCAUCAUUUUCAGGUGUUUGGUUAGCUUAUUGAAAAUAUUUUCUUACUUCAUUUUUCUGGUGUUUGUUUAACUUUUGAAAUAUUUUUACUUUUAUCUCUAUCGUUACUUUCUACACAUUAUAACUACAUACUUCUUCCCAUGUAAAAUAAGAAAAUUUAUCUCAUUGUUUAACUUUAAAAAAUCUUGGAGAAAUGUAUAUAUGAAUAAAAAAUAUCUCCUUAAGCAAUAAACAAAUUGCUGGCCAUUUAGUGUCAAAUAUCAAUCACAUGCAAUGCUUAUUAUGACAUAUAUCUUGCACUCUCACUGCUGAAAGUUCUCUAGAAAAGAAUUAUACAUAAUUAAUUACUAGCAUAGGAUGAGCAGGAUGAGGUUUUUUUUUUUUUUUGAAUAUACUAGGGGGAGGGUUGGGUUGGGUUGGGUGGUAUGGGGAAGGGAGUGUAAGGAAGAGGUCUUAAGUUCGAGUCCUCCUGUUUACACUAAAAAAAAAAAAAAGAACAUACUACAAGAUGUUUUCAGUAAAUUUGGAACAUACUACAGGCGGGAUGCAUGCAUUUCGGAAAACAACUUCAGUAAGUUUGAAAGGGAAGUUGUUUUCCAUAAGAUGAGUGAAAAUAUUUUACAUAGGAAAUUGUUUUCAGUAACUUUUGUGCAACCAAACACGGGAAAUUAGGAAAAUAUUUUUCUGGAAAACAUUUUCACCCGAAACAAACGGACCCUAAAAGUCUUAAAUUACUCACUUAAAGAUCAUGGAAUUAGUUUAUUUUACAUGCACUCUUUAAAUGCCAUCACAUUCCUAGCCCCUGCCUUUCUGAUACAAAUGAUCAUUUGAAUAUUUUGACUAUUGGACAUGAGACAAACACCAGGAUAAAUUCCAACAUCAUGUUAAAAUGCUAUGAAAUAAGAACAGAAUUGGCUUUGGUGUCAAGUUUCCCCAUUUUUUGCUUCUUUGACUCUUAUUUUUCUUUUUUCUUUUUUUUACCCUUUCCUUCUUUUUCUUUGACAAUCGAAUGAUAGAGGGAUGAGUUGAAUGAUUCGGGAGAGAGAUCGAACACUCCUACUUAUACUAAGGGAAAAAAAACACAGUUCCAACGAACCAUUUUCUGGUCCAAGCGAAGCUUCACUUUUGACUAUGUUAAUCGCAAGAAGCAAACCACCCAGACACUUUCCUCCUUUUGUGCUGAUUUUUUUUCCCCUUGUCUCUUGAUCUCAUCCUCUAUCAUAUAACCAAACACCAUCCAUGGUGUGCGUUUGUCACCAUGGCCUCCAUCUCACAACACCACCAUGACAGCUAAAUCCUUAAAAUCAAUUAGGAGAGAGAGAGAGAGAGAGAGAGAGAGAGAGAGAGAGAGAGAGAGGAGGGGAAGACAUUAAAUGAGAGAGAUAAGAUUUCAUACCUUUGAAAGGGGCAUGUGUGAUUCGGUUGAGAGAAACUUAGGACUUGGAGUUGCAAGAGAAAUAAGAAAUGAUUAAUCUUUCCUACACUGACAGCUUUAUCAGUAUUGGAUGAAUGACAACUAUGCAAAUUUUGAAUUUGAAAUUCAACUUUUACACACGUCAUGAAUCCAACGGUGAUAGUGUAUAUACUGUUAGUGUAAAUAAAAUUUACUCAACAAAAAAACACAAGAUUUAGGUUUCAUUAUUUGAUAGUAGCUUUGGACGCCCUAAUAAUUUUUAAUAUUCUAUUUUGUCCCCUAGAGUGUUAGAAAACUGUUAAUACAGCUAGAAACAUUUUGUAAUUUACAACUACAGUCCUAAAUUCUAGUACUACUUUUCAAAUAAGCCCACCAAUUCAAUUCUGAACUUGUUGAAUACGCAUUAAAUUAUAUAGAGUGCUACUUGAUUAUAUUACUUUAUUUGUACUUUCUUGUAAUAUAUCUUAGAAACAUCAAACAUAUUAAUACAUUUUUAGAAAUUUUAUAUAGUAUAUUAAUUUCUAAAAUUAAAUACAUUUAUGACACCACAAUAACAUCAUUCAAUUUUUAGAUGAAUCAACCUCUGGCCGAUCCCAUUAAUCCCUAAUCUCGACCGAGUCACAACUCGGUCCGAGUUUCAAAACACAGGCAUCAACCAUAAGAUGCACUCUGCAGAUGUACAAUUUGAUAGUCAAGUGAUCAGAGCCAGAGGAGAAGAAAUCUGAUCAAUGUCUGCCGAGCCACCUUGAUAAUGUGUCCAAAUUGUCUCUUCGGUGCUGAUGCUCUCUGGUAGCAUACUCCAUACAUGCCUUUUCAUGAUGAAUGUGAAAUUUUUGUGUUUUGUCUUUCUUAAAAAAGGAUGCAUAUGAUCAAAAGAAUUUCCAUUUGAUGGGGGGCACAUGUGUAAAUAUUUGCUGAAACGUAAUGAAGUCCAUUGUAUGUUCUUGAAAAUAAAAUAAAAUAAAAUAAUGAAAACCACAAUCAUGCAAGCACGUGGCUUUAACCUACAGGUGAGUUGUCUUAGAGCUUAUUCCAAUACAAUAAUUUGUCACUUCACGAGCGUCUCUUAAUUUGAUAAUGAAGUAAAUUUUUGUCAUGUAAAGGCUGCCUAAAAAGUUGAAAGUGCUCCUCGUGAAAACUUAUUUGGACUUAAUUUCCAAAAGGGAAUUAAGAAGAAGGCUGGAUUAACAAAAAUGAAGGAACAAUGAAAAGCUUAUACUAAGAAAAAUGGAAAACUGCAGCUCUUAAGGACCACCUGAAGAAGACAGGUUGACACUGAAUCUUCAGAGACAAAAAAUAAGUAUAAUCAACGUAGCCUUGUUCCCUAGAAAACAACUCACUUGAGAGUCUAGACCUAUUUUAAUUGGAGAAAUCUUUUCUUUAAUUCAAGAAAAAAAAAAAGAGCAACGAAUUCAAGAACUCCUCAAUCCUCACAAAAACCGAAAAUUGUCAUGAGUGGACCUUAAGAACGAGCCGCUACAUUUCCCGUGACAAAUUAGGACUAAAACUGAUGUACUUUCUUUGUUUUUUGGUAAGAUGUAAGUAGAGGUUUUGGCUAAUGCAGGGGUAGCUCACCCUCAUCAAGCUGUUCAGCUCUAUGAGCACUGGAAUGACUGGUCGCGGCUAGCCCGUGGAGGAGUUAGACUCGAUAGCAUGGGGUUGCCUUUCCUUAGGAAGGUGCGAAACUCCUAAUUCUCGAUCUUCUGUACUCUGAUCUUCUUUCUGUACUCCGGUUUCCACUAUGAAUAAUAGCGGGGGUGGCGGCGUCCCUCCCCGUUGUCGGGGUUAGACAAAAAAAAAAAAAAAAGAGAUUUUGAAUCUGGAACAUCUCACUUAUACUCUCUGCGUCUGUACCACCUAAUCAAUCCUUUCCUAGAUACAAUUGAUACACUCAUAUAUGAAAAUAAGUAUAAUCAAAGCAGCCUUUUUCCAUAGAAAACUACUCGGUUGAGAGUUAAGAUCUAUUUUAACUGUAGAAACCUCUUCUUCAAUUCAAAAAAAAAAAAAAGAGCAACGAAUUCAAGAACUCCUGAUAAAAACAGAAAAUUGCCAUCAGUGGGCCUUAAGAACGAGCCGCUACAUUUCCCGUGACAAAUUAGGACAACCUUUGCAUACAUCACUACAUUUUUUGGCCGACAGACGGCAUAACAUUUAUGAAAACGACCCUUAAUUAACUUAGAAUUCUGUAAUUUUUUUUUUUUAUAUUUUCAUACUUCAUACUAGAUAUAAAGGUGAGAAGAUAUAUAUCUCGUUAAUAAUAUUUUCAGUGUCCAAUUAAGGGUUGAAUAUUAUUGAAACAAAUAAUAGUCAUGGUAGUAUUUUCCUUUCCAUUUCUUUUACGUGGCAGCAGUACAAUCUUGCCCAGCAAAAGGGAUUAUAUUAGGCAGAAACUCUAUUUUACGGUGUUCUCUCCUCACGAUAGUAGCCCUUCAAAAUCUUGCUCUCAGCCUACAGAUUUCAUCAAAUUUAUAAGAUGUGAUGACAUAGAGACAAUGAACAAAUCUAUACUUAUUCAUCUGUUCUGACACCAAAUUCAAGUUCCAAUAUGCAAAUUUGUUCAACUACCUAGUUCUUGUUUACUAAUAGUUAAAUAAAAAAAGUAUGAUCUGAAUUCUGUUUUAUAUAUUAAACAAUGUGAUGAUACACAAUUUGAUGGUCAGCCAACAGAUUUGGAAAAGUUUACCAACUUAAGUAUAUCUAUUUAGAUAGACAGUUUAAAAAGUUUAAGAACAUUCAAGUUCAAUUUGUAAUGGCUAAACCAAGCAAGAGGAAAUGUUAAUGUCCUAUUUAGAUUGUUAUUUUUUGUCGAAACUUUUUUGAGCGUUUUAAAAAUAUUAUCUUUUUUUUUCAAUGAUAAAAAAAUAUUUUCACAGAUGUCACACCUUAUUAAAAAAUAUUCUCUUUUUGAGCUUUUUUAAUGUUCUUUUUUUUUUGAAUAAUAAAAAAUAUUCUCUUGCUACCUCUUUAUUUCACAUAUGUCACACCUUAUUAAAGCACUAUAGCUAUUUUUCAGCAAAAAGAAAAAAAAAACUCUUAAAGAAUACAGCCCAAACGGAUAGAUAUUCAGUUCCUAAUAUAUGGUAACUUCUAUGGAUGUUAUAUUACUAAUACACAGGGCAAAUGUCAUUUCUCAACUUUGGGUUUACUCCUACUUCUGUGUUACAAAACUAGACACAGUCUUGAACAGUUGCUCCCCCCCCCCCCAAAAAAAACAAAAAAAACAAACAAACAAACAAAAAACCAAAAAAAAAUUUUGUUAUUUGAAAACAUGGUUAUCUUAUACUAAGUUGUUUUUAAGUUGUUUUUGGGAAGGGUUGGGUUAGGUGGUACAGGGGUAGGGAGUGUAAGCAAGAGAUUUCGGAUUCGAGUCCUCCCGCUUACACUGGAAAAAAAAAAGUUGUUUAUAAGUAACAUGUUUAGCUCAGGGUUCACUUAUACCUACGAACAUGGCUUAGGUGAGAACUGAAGUUAUGCAUAGUUUUGUGUUUUUAAUCAACCUCUUUUUCUGGGGAUGUUUAUUAUUAACUAAUUAUUAUACAUGUUAAUCUAAUGACAUUGUUGAUGUAGUAUCUUGGGGGUUCACAAAUCACGACAACUAUGAUUAUUAUUUUAGGGAGUUAUCGUAGAUCUGAUUAUGGACUGAUUAUGUUAGUUUUAUGAAAUUAUUUGCAAUUAGUAUCUCUUGGGUUCACAGGAUUGUAUAAUUGCUUUAGGGCACUAUCAUGGAUCGAUACAUGCACCCGUGAAAGGCUUAAUCUGUUGUCUGCAUGUACUACACAAUUCCGACUUCCAUGACCACAAGAUGCUACCAAACAACAAAGAGUCACGAGACCAACUUUCCUUUUACAUCAAACCACUUUCACUAGAAUCAAUCUGUCUUUUGUUUUUGAAUCUCUUUUUUUUUUUUUUUUUCUUAUUCCUCAUCCUCCAAAUUAAUUCUCUCUUUAUUGCUUAUCUUCAUUCACAAUCACACAUGUGUGGCUGCCCCCCCCCCCCACCCUUCACUUUUUAAAAUUGGAGUACAAAAACUUUAGGCUUCACAUUGAUUGAAAUUCCAACUAUAAAUAAUCUAUGAUAACCCAAAUAAAUGAAUUUCAUAUUGAUUCAUCAUUUGUCUUCAAAUCAAUGAAUUGAGGCCACGUAUAUAGCACUUUCAUAGUCUUGAAUUUAGAAUUUAAAAAAAAAAAAAAUUUUGGUUUGGCUCAAAUCAGCUUAAGGAAAUUGCCUAGUUCACUGACCAAACAAUAGAGAUAAAAUUUGUUUCUAAGUCAGGAGGACCUAAAUUGUCCUUCAAGUGAAAAUGUGGUCAAAAGGGCUGGUUAACCAUGUCCAGGACAGUGAAUAGUACAAAAUACAAUUUCUUGGCAGCGGAGCUGAAGGAAUUUAAGAUUUUCUUUUGGUCCAGUUUGUGGCAAGGGACAAAGGAAAGGCAACAUCCACAGGGAACCAAGAAAUGCUUUUUUUCGUUCACAUUCUUAAUAAUCUGGAAACUCCUGAUAACAAACAGCCUGGUUGUAUUUGUAUGCAAUUUAUUAUAGGCUAGGCUACAGACCUAACAAAUGUUAAAAAUAUAAUGACUAGUUUUAUAGUUUUGCUGCAUCCACUUUCAAGCAAAAAGCAGACUGUUUUUAAAGUUUUAGUUUGAUCUGAAACUAGUGGCUGUCGAUGUUGGCACCUUUUUUAAGAACACUACAACCUCAAAACAGAUCACAAGACCAUCCAGAGAAGUAGCAAAGUCAAUUACAAUAUGAUGAAGAACUAUGUUCACUAAAACCUUCCAUCAUACCUGCAUUGGCGACUUACGGUAAUGGAACUGUAUAUUUGGAUCAACAAUCUCGUAAUUUUGAACCCUAAAGCAAUCUGAAAAAAAUGCAUUGCAUAUAAAUCAUAAUGAUUUUCCUGUAACACCCAACUUUGGUCUAACAUAAUAACUCACAAAUUUAAACUAUCCGUAAAAAGUUAUUAGAUCAACUCAAAUAUGAGGCGUUACGUGUAAAUGCAUAGGUACUUUUUCUGUCAUACCAUGGAGAGGUUUCUUGGUCAUCUGAAAACAAAAAAUAACCAUGAAAAUUAGGUCUUAGAGAAAGAAAUGCACUAAGAAACAAGGAGAUCCCUCUGCCAAGAUUGCCACAGAAGCCAUACCUGCCCAUGGUUUGAUGUUUAUUGAAGAGGAGUAUACUCUUGUAAUAGUUGACAGUGAUAUUUGGAUCAGCCUAAAGACAACACGUGUCUGUACGUUGCAUGUUAGACAUUCUCCAAGUGAGGUACAUUUGGGUAUAAAUUUGUAGCCCCUACUUCACAUGAUUCUUGCCAUUAGACAUCUUCUGCUUCUUCUUUCCCACCUAGUGUCUGCCUCAUUUCUUCCUCUUUCAUUCACUUUAAUUUUCACACUAAUUUCUCCACAGUUGGAAAAAGAAAUUCCUCCACAUUGGUCGAACUAUUCAAAUGCUGGUCUAAUUUUGAAGCAUUGUUACACUUAGAACACUUCCUUAGUUCAUCACAGGAAAUGGAUUCUCGUAAAUGGAUUUUGUUUAUAGGGAUCAUUGCAAUUUUCCUGCUUCAGAAUUCAAGCGAUGUGGAAGGAAGGCAUCAUAUUCACAGUCAUAAGAAGCAUAAGAGCAAUAAUGGAAAUGCUGGUUCCCCUGUCUAUGCACCUAGUCCUGGUGACCCUGGCUCCGAUAAUCCUGAUUAUCCUCCUCCUAUUUCUUCAGACCCGAGCAAUCCUCCAUAUAGUGAUGACCCUGGAAAUUCCGGCACUCCUGUGUCUCCUGAUCCUGGAAAUUCUACCACAGGAUGCACUUUCAAUGUCAUGGAUUUCGGGGCAGUUGGUGAUGGUUCAACUGAUGACACUGCUGCAUUUAGAGAUGCUUGGAAGGAAGCUUGUCAAGCAGAAUCAAGUGUUCUUUUGGUUCCUGAAAACUAUGUUUUCUUGAUCACUUCAACAAUUUUUUCAGGGCCUUGCAAACCUGGUCUUGUCUUUCAAGUAAGACAGCAAAAUUUAUCCCUCGUCUGUUUUUGUUCAUGCUUUCUAAAACUUUUAGAAAUGGAGUACAGCUGAGAAUUUAUCAAAUGCUUGUUCUAGGGAAGGAACAAGUAAUGUUUAAGUUGUUUUAUCUAAUGCUAUAUUCGAAAUUGUCGUUGUUUUAUGGUUAUUACAUUGUAAGUUGUUAUACUGGAUUGGUUUAGAUAGAUACAAUUUUAGGAUAAUUUAAAGUGUAUUACUUAACAUAUUACUAAACUUCUUUCAAGGUUGAUGGGGUCCUAAUGGCGCCUAAUGGACCUGAUUGCUGGCCAAAAGGUGACAGCCCUCAACAAUGGCUUGUAUUUUAUCGGCUAAAUGACAUGACACUGACUGGAACUGGUACAAUUGAAGGCAAUGGUGAAAAAUGGUGGUCGCUACCUUGCAAACCUCACAUGGUACUUAGUUUUAGUUUUCCUCAGUGGCCUACUUUUUUCUGUAUUCAUUUUCAUGCCAUUAAAUGAGCUUAACUGCAUUCAUUUUGCAGUACUAAUAUUAGUUUUCUGGUGUGUACUUCUGAAAGUAAUACAAGUGCCUAUUCCAAUUACUCAAUAUUGAUCAAAGGCUAAUAAAUGCUAUGGAAUGCCCAUUUUCAGGGACCUCAUGGCUCAACAUUGCCUGGACCAUGUGACAGCCCAGCUGUGAGUAAAUUCAACCAAACAUCCAAUUUAAUGAGCUGCAUUCAAUAUAGUGAAAUUCUGAAGUGGUACUGAACUUAAAUUCAAUCUGCCUUGCUGCAGCUUAUACGGUUCUUUAUGAGCUCCAAUUUGAUGGUGACAAAUUUGCGAAUCCAAAAUAGUCCAAAGUUUCAUGUAAAGUUUGAUGGAUGUGAAGGUGUGAUCAUUGAUAGAGUGUCGAUCUCUUCCCCUAAGCUUAGCCCGAAUACGGAUGGAAUUCACGUCGAGAACACUAAAUCUGUUGGAAUAUACAACUCAGUAAUCGCAAAUGGUAGUUCAAAUGCCCUUGAAUCAUUGGAUUUUCUUCUUGUUUAAUAACCUUCCAGUUAAUCUGAAUCUGCACUGAUUCAUGUAUUCACUCAUUUUGUAGGCGAUGAUUGCAUAUCGAUUGGUCCUGGUUGUUCAAAUGUCGAUAUAGAAUCUGUCACUUGUGGACCUAGCCAUGGGAUCAGGUGUGUGCCCUGCCUUAACUUUUUACUCUAUAUACAACUAAAAUUGAAUAAAUGACAAGCCGAAUUGCUUGACUUCAGCAUGUUUUAGCUUGUCCUGCCUGUAUCUACUCUGUCUGAUAGUGAAUCCACAACGUUUUAUUUUAAUGCUGGAUUGCAAAAGUUGGGUGGUUAUUUUUAUAUAGGAGUGAAGGGAAGGAAAUACUAGAUGUCCAAGCCAGAUGCAGAGUUUAGCCUAGUCCAAUGAAAUUUCAUUUUUUUUCAAGAACCUGCAUUCUUUUACUGUCAUAACAGACAGCAGACCUGAAACUGAAUUGCCUAAAUUGAUUCACGGGACUGGGCCAGAUUGGGAUGCUAAUCACUGACAUGAUGUUAUGCAAUUGGUUGGAAUUUCCAAUCCCCUCUAGAGUGAAAGGAAUGCCUAAAAUUGUAGCAGAACAGAUACCUAAUUUUGUUAUAUGUUCUUCCAUAAAUGAUCAAUGCGUAAAGUAGUGGUGGAGCCAAAUAUAGUUGGGGGUGGGCAAUUGCCCCCUCUCAACUUUGGUAAAAUCACAAAAUAGCCUUAGAAAAUUUGAGAAGUUUCUGAAUUACAUUAUAUUUGGCUUCUCUAAAUUUUGUGCAAUUACACUUAGUAGCUCCAUUGCCCCCUUAACUAUUAAGAUAUCAUAAUGGUUAUCUUUUGUUAGACUCUUGGACCCACUUCAAGUUAUAUAAUGAUUGAUCCAUUUGAAUUGAAUAUUAUUUGAAAAAUUUUCUUUGCUAUAGCAUUUUUUUGGGGGCAAAUUACACUUUACCGCCUGUGGUAUAGCUAAUUUUCACAUAACCCCCCUCUAGUUUUAAAAGUUAUAUAUAAUGCUAUCAUAGUUUGGAUUAAAACGUCAAAGUGACAAAAAUGAUCAUCCAUAAUGGACCCUAUGAAAAUGUCGAAAUUACCUUUGUUUAAAAGCUAAAAUGACUUAAGUGACCGAAAUAUAUAAAUAUAAUAUGCAUGACACUUUAACCCGUAUGAUUUUAUAUUUUAUCAUAUAACCCCCUUAUACUUUCGUGCUUUACCAUAUAACCCCCUAUACUUUAGUGCUUUACCAUAUAAUCCCCUUAUGAUUUUCAAUAUAUAUACAUAACUCCCUUUUGUUUAAUAAAUAAUUUUUAAUUUUACAUAGGGGUAUUUUUUAUAUUUUAGUUGACUCUGUUAUGGAUUGCAAAUUCCGUCACUUUGACACUUUAAUUCAAACUAUGAGGGAGCCAUGUAUAGUUUUUGAAAUCAUAGAAGGAUUAUGUAAUAAAACACUAAAUCACAUGGGGGUAAAUUGUAAUUUGCCCUUUUUUGUGAAGUAUGUGAGAUGAAAAAAAUUGUUGGAAAAUGUGUGUUUAGACAAAUAAGAAAUGCUUUUUUUUUUAACUUUUUUCUAAAUUUUUAUGUUCCUAACUCAAAUAAGUAGAAUGAUCUUACUGCCAAAUUAAAGUCAAAAAAUUAGAUGUAAUGGUACAUGUGACAAAAAUAUCUAUCAAACAGUAUUAUCACAUCAAACAUGAGAGUUACACGUCGCACCUCCUGAUUUAGGGUCCUAGCUCCGCUGCUGCCUAAAAGUGCACUAAUUUAUCUCUGUACAUAAUAACCAAGCGCAGUUUCAUUGUAUCCAAAAUGUUGAUCACUGAUAGAAAUCAUAAGCAACAUUUUUCUUGGAAAUUCUGUUCACAGUACAUCUGAAACAGAACAGCUUUCUUUGUCCUUUCCGUACUAGCUCGACAAAAUUUGUAUACUUCUUUCAGAAAUGUAACACUAACCUCGCCAUCGAUUUUGCAGCAUUGGGAGCCUAGGAGUGCACAAUUCCCGGGCAUGUGUUUCGAACAUAACAGUCCGGAAUGCCAUCAUAAAGGACUCAGACAACGGAGUCAGGAUAAAGACAUGGCAGGGAGGUGCGGGAUCUGUAACAGGCAUAUACUUUGAGGACAUCCAGAUGGACAAUGUUAGAAACUGCAUAAUCAUAGACCAAUACUACUGCCUGUCAAAGGCGUGUCGAAAUCAGACUUCAGCCGUUUACCUAUCGGACGUAUCGUUUAGGAACAUAAAGGGCACUUAUGAUGUGAGAAACCCUCCAAUUCACUUUGCCUGCAGUGAUACAGUGGCCUGCACAAAUAUAACAAUGUCUGAAGUUGAGCUGCUUCCGUUCGAAGGUAUAUUGGUAGAUGAUCCAUUCUGCUGGAAUGCAUAUGGGAUUCAGGAGACCUUAACUAUACCUCCAAUCGAUUGUUUACUGGAUGGAAUGCCUGAAACUGUAGGAGAAAGCAACUUAUAUGCCUGCAAUUAGGGGGGAUAGUUUACUUAAUACUGUAUAGGUAGACAAGUAGCCAACUAUUCUGUCAGGGUUUCAUCUCUGAAUUUCCUGCAAUCUUGGUGCUUUCUUGUUUUACUUCCAUCCCUUUGGGGUAUAUUCCCUGAUUGUGCGAUGAGUGCAUGAAAUCUAGUCUGCAUAGGUUCAUUUUGGUGCCUAUAAUGUACUAGUAGUAGUACCAUAAUAUAAAAUAUAAGCCAAGAUUGAGUUUCAAGAAUUGCAGUAGAACUAUGUAUCUGUUUAUGUUGAUUUAUUGCUGUAUAGCUUCAUUUUGAAUGAAAAAUUAAAAUAGAUGAUGAAUAAUUGUAGCAUAGAGUUAAAUGUAGGUAAUUACCAAAUAUUUGUUCGCCUUCUUAGGGAGAUUGCUUUUUCUUUUCUUUUCUUUUUUCUUUCUUUCUUUUGAACUUUAAUGGAUAUAGAUAAAAAAAAAAAAAAAGAGUUCAAAAAGUCCCCCAAGAUCUAACACGGUUAUUUCCUUCUCGAAACUUGUUCAUAUAAUCAAUCUUAUCUAUGCAAUUUCAAAUUCGCCUACUUUAAUCCAUCAAUUGUAUGGUGCAAUUAUCCAAAGAAUCCCUUUCUUAUUGCCCAUCACUCACAUAUCAAUGUUAACUACAUACUUGCACGAUCAAUGUGAACCAGAUAUCAAAGAAUCCCUUCCUUAUUUCUUGGAAAUGCCCUUCAUUUCUGACGUUCCAAGAACAAUCAACAGAAGCUGCCAAGGAAAGCCCUCUAGACAUAAUCCAACAAACAACUGCUGAAAACCAUGCUUAAAUUACCACAGAAAUUUAAGGCCUUAUUUGGACUGUAAUUUUUCUUCUAAAAAUUUUUAUGAACGUAUUUUUCAAUAACCUUUUUAUUUCACAUGCAUCAAAUCGUUAUCGUAUAUUCUUUUUGUAAAAACUCUAGAAAAUAGCAAUCUAAACGAACUCUAAUAGACAAGGAAGUAAGUCUCUUAGGAAUCAACUUCCAGGCCAGAACCUGUUUCCAACAAACCUUCAGAAGAACAUGGACAAGUAAAACGUAGAUGUUUAAUGGUUUCCAAAGCAGACUGACAAAGAAUGCAAUAUGCAUCAUCUUCAAGAACCACCACUAUAGCAGCCUUGGCCUGGUUAGUAAAGUCUACCUUCUUCAAAUCAAGGAAUAGACUUUUUUUACUAGACCAAUUGAUGCCAAUAAACAAGUUGUGGGUUCUUGUGGGAGCUUUAAAAGGUCAAGUUCUACUUUAGAUUGAUAAUAAUUUAAAGCAACUUCACAUAAAUUUUUUUUUCCAUAUUUUUACUGUAUAAGAAAACAAUUUUAUAUUAGAAAUACCUUGUCAAAACAUAGCAAAGCCUAUAGUAGUACUGUAUCAACGCUAUAAUUUUCCUUUAAUCCAUUUUCUUUGUACCUUACUCGCCAUAAAUUCAUUGUCUUUGCCAUUCAUUUACUUUGAAUACAAAAUAUAAGAAAAGUUUUAUGUAUUUAAGUAUUUUUAUUUCGCUAUGCUUUAGCCGAACUUAUACAUUUGUUAAUUACCUCUUUACAAUUCAAGUUGCAAUGUUAAUCUCUUUCAUUUUUUUUGCCAAAAUGUCAUUUGUAUUUCUAUUGAUAUAAACAUGCCUUCACACAUUCACAAAAGGAAGCAACUGCUCCAUCAAGGCUAGAGGCGUCAAACAAAUCUUUUUAACUAAAAUCUACCCAUACACACCCACAAAUGAGGGGGCAUGGAUAUUUUUAAAUUUCUAAAUUUGGAUUUAAAUGGAUUGGUCUAUUAUAUUCAUUUUAUUAAAUGAGUAUAAUUGCAUAACCCGUUAAAUUCAAUUAAACCCAAUUAGAACUGUGAGAGUGUGAGAGUGUGCUCUUGGAAAAAAGGAUGAGUGCUUCCCUUAGGAGUUGUCCCACAUCGAAAUUUAGUAUGGGUGAGUAGCAAGACUUAAGAUCCUCAGAGCUUCCCUCCAGUCAGUAAUGCCUGGAUGGUGAAGUUCAAUGAGUGCCCCCUUAAGUUGAGUGAGACUCUCUUUGAUGUGACUGAGUGUAGUUUAGUUUUUCGCUUGUUAAAUGCCUACUGUGGAAAAAAAAAAAAAAAAAAAAGAACUGUCUUGAGUAAAAGCCACGUCUCUCCCGUAAGUCGUCACUUCUGCACCACCACUCACGGAUUUAUGGCCACCUGUUGUCACUCCUCCUCUGAUGAGCUCCCCGCCUCCCCACCACUGUCUUCUCCUCCGCCUCCACCAGUAAGUCCUCUCCCGACUUCCUCUUUUCUGCCACUUCUUGUUUCCCUCCCCCAUCACCCUAUCUCUUCCACCAAUCACUCUCUCCUGAAACUAAUGAAUUCCUUUCUUUGCUAAAGUCAGUGAACAUUUCAGCAAGAUGAAAGGUUUGACUAAAAGAACGAAAGAAGAAGUCCUCCAAAUUCUUGUUAGCUCCAAUUGGUGCUUCUCGUAACAUCCUCUGAUCUAUCUAUCUUCUACUCAGUAUAUAUUCCUCUCCUUUUUCGAUGUUGGUGACAUAUUGCGUGAUUCAACAAAGGAAUUCUUUGUUUAGAGAAAUUAGCCAUGUGGAUUUUCAUUUUUCUUUGUCCUUUUUCUGGGAAACAAUUGGACACUUUAACAAGAUUUAAAUUUGAAUCAUUAACUUGUACUUGAUGUUAUAUUUUUUUUUCUUUGGAAUGGUACUUGAUUCAUUUUGUGGCACCAUUUAUAGAGACCAUGACUGAUUUUUGGUGAUUUUUGGAGACCCUCAUUUCUGUUUUAUUUUCUUAAAUGAAAUUUGUGCCAUCUACUAAUUACAUAUUAUUUAAUUCAAAUUUUUGUGUUAUUAUCAUUUAAUUAUUAAAUAGUUUGCAAUUUUGCAACAUUUGAACGGGUUGAAAAAAUGUUAAUUAGUCUUGUUGGAUAUUAUAAGGAAAUAUUUAAAUUAGUGAUAAGUGCAGAGAAGGUUAUAAAUUGGUAACUUAGUUUAUAAAUGAAUUUGUAAAAAGAUAAAAUAAAUGGAUUGUAAAUGGUAAUUGAGUUAUCCUACUCAUUUUUUGACUUAUUCAUUUGUAUCCAUCUAAUUAAAUGUAAGGGUGAUUGUGAAUCGAGCUACUCGCAAGCAAUUCGAUCAAUCGCUCGGCUUCAGCUCGGGUUGACCAAGUUUGGGCUCGAGCUCAAGCUGCUUGAUUGGGAAGCAAGUCGAAUUUCAAGCCCAAAUAUAUACUAGUGGAACUUGAUGAGCUAUUCAUCAAGUACUUAUUAAUUUAAAUAAUAUAUAUUUUUAAAUAUGCCAUUACCACUAAGGGUUUAUGCUUUCAGAUAAUUUACAAGUUGAUUUGCAUACUUAAUAAAAUUCUUUAAUGGCAAAAAGGUAAUAGAAUUUGUAGACACAAUUCAAUUUCAUUCUCCAAGUUUAGAGCUUAAUGGCUCAAAAAUGGGUCUGAUCCAGGUUCUAUGCUUGAAGCAUCAUCGAGUACUUGAGCUCGAUAUGGCUUGAUCUUGACUCGAGCCAUAUCGAGUCGAGUUUGAGUUUUUUUUACCGUUUCAACAAGUUAAGUUCAAUUCUCUAUUUCUGAGCUUGAUCGAGCUUAAGUAGGGUGUCAAUAGUGUUUGAGUCGAAUUCAAGUAUAGCACUACUCAAAUUUAAACUCGACUCGUAUACAUUCCUAAUUAAAUAAAUGUAAAUGGAUUGACUCAAUUAUACUCAUUACCUAUUUCAAUCCAUCCAAGUCACCCACAGUGACACUUCUAAUCAAGACUAUGUGUCUCUCUUGCAAGCCACAAGGGAAAAUCUAAUUCCCACUUCACGUGUAAAAUUGGUCUAGUUCUAUUGGAGCUUCUACAAAUUAAAGUAAAAGUACAAUUCCAGAAGAAUUCUUUCUGCUGUCUAAUAUCUCUGGUGAUUAUAGCUAAGAAGGACUCAUCAUCUACAUUAUCAUUAAGCCAGCUCACUUUUUUAAUACCUGUCCACUUUUAAAAAAUGUGGAGUAUGAUUAUCAUAUACCAAAACCUUUUUAGCAACUCAACACUAUGGGUACGAGGGAAAAAAAACAAAACAAAAUUGCUAAGAAUGCUUAUUGUUGACAAAUAUCAGCUUCUUCAGGUCCUGUUGGUGAAAAAGAAAUAAGCAAAAGUGAUAUAAUCGAGUCACAAAAUUGGCAAACCCCAUUUAUUUGAAUCCCAAUUGCUGCAGAAUACCUAGCGGACUUGUAUUUAUUCUACACCAAGUAAAUUAAUAAAUAGUAAAGGGUAACUUUUAGUCUUGUCUUAUGUAUUGACAUCAUGAAGGCUGUAAGUCGAUUCCACUAAAAUGGAUUAAAUCCAUUGCUACAAAAUUCAGCCAAAACGGUUUAAUUUCAAAAUAAUUAACUGAAGGAAUAUUAAGUGGUGUUGCUUUGUAUUUCCAAAAGUUGAAAUCUCUUCAUCAAUUUUCAAAUAUGGACGUACAUUUUCUGAACUAAUUACAUUUGUAAACUAUCUUUGUAAGAUUUAACUUUUUACCUCUAUAUUGGGUUUACUAUGGGUAGAAAAAACAAAUUUUUUUUUUUAGUGCCGGUGAUUGCAAUACCUCUGAAUAUAUUAUUGUUUGCUGGCUCCCAUUUCUUUUUUGGUUUUUUUUUUGGGGGGCGGGGGAGGGGGAUGGUGGUGUUAUUGAAGGAUUAAAGAAAAAAAAAAAGGAAUUGGUACCUAUCCAAUCCAUUUAAGGACGAACAAGAGUCCGAACGAUUAUCAGAAAACAGUUCAGAGCGAUUUUAUGUAAAAUAUACACAAUGUAACUCACUUUCAAUAACGUAUGACUAUAGAAUAAAAUUUUAUGAGUCUCAUACAUAAUGUGAAAAGUGAGGUACAAAAUAAAAUAUGAACCCCAUAUAUAUUUUUUAGCCAAAUUUUGACCAUGAACUUUUGGAAACAAUUAAAGGACCAAACCUGACAAACGUCAAUUCUUUGAUUCCCCGUAGCUGAAGAAUAACGAGUACCAUCCUUUCCAAAAACAAAUAAAUAAAUGGCAAAAAGGCAACUUUUUAGACUUGUUUUGUUGGGCUGAAUGCUGGCUCUCAAGUCUUAACCGCAGGCCACAUGGACUAAUAAAAGUGCAUGGUAUAAACUCAUUGCCUACAAAACAAAUCCUAAAGAUAAAAAUUUGUUUUCCUAUAAAUUCAGCGAAAAUUGUUUCCAAAACCAUUCUCGCAUUUCCAUUUGCAGUGAUUAACAAGAAGUCAUGAAGCAGCUUACCUUCAUUUUCCUGUUGGCUCUUUUCAUCAAUUCAAUUUGUUAGUACUCUUCUUCCCCUCUCCCCCUACAUCCUAUCUCCCCACUAUUUAGAAGAGUGUUUUAAUAGCAUUAAAGUACUGAACGUUACUCUUUUGACCUAUAUGUUUCACAACUUGAGAGCAAAUUGACAGCAUUUUGGCAUUCUAUGUAUCAAAGUCAUGUUUGAUAGGAUAUAUAUAUAUAUAUAUAUAUAUAUAUCUUUUUUUUCAAACUUUUGAAGUUAGUUAAUUAAACCUAAUCCCAGAUUUAAUCCCAAAAGCCGGCAACUCUUGAGGCAAACCUGGGGAUUUAACUACCCAACCCCCCAACUCCGAAGAAACGAUGUGGGACUACGGAAAAAUUAGUAGGACAGUCUCUACUAGACCUUAAAGAAGGAUAUAUAUAUACCUACCACCAUAUUUUUUAAAAAUUAUUUUUUCAAAUUCAAUUACCAGCUUGAAGCCUUCAAGAAAUUUCAACAGAAGUCUCUAUUACAAAAUUCCUUUCCACUAACCCUUCAAAACUUUCUUCUCAUUUAGUUUUGGCACUCCAAUUUACUAGAUAUUUUUAAUUUAGCACCGAAAAUAUACGUGCAUUGUUUGUAGCCCUAGCGAAAGCCCCCAUUUUCAUCUUCUUAAUUGUAAUGUUCUUCUACUUUUGCCCCUUCAACUUGCAACAGUUUUUUCCUUUUAGUAGGAGGAACAACGUUCGAAACAAAUUUUUUUUUUUUAUUUCAUAUGUGGUCAAGGAGUUACAUUGGCACAACAUCUUUGUUUGAAGAGAAAAAUUUAUGAAAUAAAACAUUUGGGAGCUUUAUUGACAAGAUUGAACUUUUGUUAUUAGUGCAAUUAAUUAUGCCAUCAAAUGUUUAAGUACGAUAUUUUGCUAGUGUUCUUUUGUUGAUAUGGUGUGCAAUGCGCAGUUUUAAUAUCGGCAAGGGGAGAUGGAGGUUUGCUCAAACCUAAGAUACAACAAGCCUUUAGAGGCUCUUGGGAAGUAACAUUUUGCAGAAGUAAUGAAGAGUGCAGAUUUUGUGGUGGUUACACAUGCCAAGGUAAAUUGGGUAAUGGACAAUCAGAUACUGACGGUUCUGCUCUUGGCAAAUGUGCCAGGGCAUGAAUAAAAAUGGUGGAUAUGCAUCUUUACAGCAAUGUUAAGGUUGGCAAUGUUAAGGUUUUUUUUUUUUAAUUUCUGGUGAUUAAUUAAUUCUGAGAAUGUUUUUAUUUCUAAAUUAAAGUUAUUCGUGGGGCCAUAGUAUAUUAUAUCUAUAUUCCACUUUUGCAAGAGUAUCCUUAAUAAUUGAAUGUCAUUAAUAUCCUAUUGUUAUUUCGUUAUAACCAAAUUAAACUUCCCUUCGUACAUUGAAUAAUUCUUUCCAAUGUUAUUCAAUAAUAACGUCAAAUUAUGUUUGAAUAUCAUGGUUUUAUAGACACCUUAAAUAUUUGUAUUUUCUUGAGAUGAUAGUUUUUCUAACAGAUGCACAUGUAAAUAUACAUAAUCUACCAUGUGAAUGUAUAUACUAACAAUUAUUAUCUCAUUUGUAUAUUUUUUUAAUUAACUUUACUUUUUCAAGAAUUUAAUAUCUUGUUUAAUAAAUACUCUUUUGACAGACCCAAAUAAUAGUGCCCCUCUACCUUAAUACAAUAUAUUAGACUUAUAUAUAUAUAUAUAUAUAUAUAUAUAUAUAUAUAUGAAAGUAACUAUUUUAAUCACAAUGUUUCUCACUCCUGUGUGGCAUGCCUAAUUGAAGAGAAUUAACAGGUUAUGGAUCACUUAGGUUUUACAUAUACUGAAUCCUAUUUGGAUUAUAUUAUGUGUUUAACAAUUAUUUCUAAUUUUAAAAUAACUUUAAAAAACAACUAAUCUUAUCUUAACUGCUUUCUAUCAAAUUAUUACAAUGAUUAUAAAUUAUUUCUAAUUUUAAAAUAACUUUAAAAAAUAACUAAUCUCAUCUUAAUAAUAUCUGCUUUCUACCAAAUUAUUACAUAGAAGUAUAGUAAAUCCUUUUUAAAUCAAAAUUAUUGAAAUCUUAUUGAUAUAUCCCAUAAAUUACUUCCUUUCACCACCAUAUCAUUGAUUAGUAUUCAAAUUGUUCAUCAUCUCUUCUUAAUUUUGAAUUAACUUAGUGUAAAAAAGAGAAUUAACUGUUACAUCGAUAGAUUUAUCAAUAUUAUUGAAAAUUAAAUAUUUAUUGAUGAAGAAAAAUGGAUUAAUGGAUCUUUUUCUAUUUAAUUAAAUAUGAAUAUAUAAUUCUAGGUUUAUGGACAUUAUAAAAAUUUAAAUUAUCUAAAAAAUAUAUAUAAAAAAGAAUAUCUACCAAGUUUUGGAUAUAGGGUACAUUAUUUGAUGCAUACUAUCAUAUUAUAGAGAAAGUAUGUCAACAAAUUUUUAAAAAUUAGUACAUAAUUGAACAUUUAAAAUACAUUAAUUUUUUAAAAUUAAUAUGAAUGAACAUGUAGAACUGCUGUUAAUUUUUAUAUUUAAAUUAUUCAUAUUUGUAUAAAUUCACAAUAAAUAACAAAAAUCAUGUUAAGUCACGGGUAAAAUUCUAGUUAGUAUGAAGACAACAAAUAAGAACCGGAUUCUCUAUAGUUGCAUGAGCAACCGUAUACAAUUGCUCAAAUUCAGAUGCUAGUCAACUUUGUCUUUUAUAAAUUACUGCCCAAAUUGUCCUAUAGUAUUUUGGUAAAAAGUUUUAAAAUUCCCAGAUUACAACCUUAUUUUAAUCAAUUGAUUAAUUUAUCAUAUUUUGUGAAAAAUUUUUACUUCUUUAAUAGUAGUUUUGAUCUAAUAAAUAGUAAGAGUCAUUACUACUGAAGCAAAGAAUUUCUCAAUAGCCCUUUUUUAUAUCAAUAAGUCCAUCUUUCCUUAUAGUAAAAUUAUUUCUCAAUUCUUUUAGACAUGUCUAAAUUAGUAAAAUCAUUUAUCCCUUAAAUAGUUUAAUACCUGAACGAGUGCUUUUAGACACAAAAUAGAUUCGGGAAUCUUGCCGAAUUAAUUUAUGAUUUUAGCAUAAUGGACUGAGAUAAACUUAUCAACUAAAAAAAUGAAACAAUUUUUGGACAAGUUUUUUAUAUAAGAUUUUUUGUUGUUAUGAUCUCUAAAUCAUUAAAAUCUCACGCAAAUGAAAUAUGAAGCACCGAUGAUAAAUUGUUCAAAAAAGAGGGGAAUCUAUUAAGUUUGGAUUCUAAACUCUUUAACAUACUUACAGAAUAUCAACUGACAAUAUUGACUGCUAAAUGCCGAUUAUUGAAUGUUAUUUGUCGGGUAAAAAUUCUAGCUACAAACCUACUAGAAUACAAGUACUGCCUGUAGUUUAAUAGUUUACAAGACAAAGGACAAGGGUGUUCAUUGUUUAAGAAUUCGAAAAAUAUCUUAGAUUGGCUUGUUAUAAAGUAAGUAUUCGAGUGGCUGGCCUGCCUGCUACUAGUCCAGUCUGGAUCUGGGACAAGGAUAGUCAUCAGGUGGACCGUCCUAAGUAGUUCACGGCCAAGAUUUGGUAAAAAAUAAUUGUACUAUUCAGAUAUCAUCUUGUAUCUCGUUUGUAACAACAUGUGUGAGACCCACAAAAUUUUGUUCUAAAAUUACACGUUGUGGAAAAUAAAUUACACCAUGUAUAAAUAGAGUCACGCUGUGUGCAAAAUGCACAUAGCCUUCAUGCCCUUGGUCCAGUCUACCAUAUGCUUUUCUCUGUCACAGGCAGGACUGAAAACAAGUUUAAACGAGAUGGACAGAGGUAUGUUCAGAAUUGAAUCGAAAGUUAAAAAAAAAAUGUUUGAAGUUAACUUAUGUUUGAAAAUUUUUGGAAAGAAACUGAUCGAGUUUGACUUAUAGAAAGCUUGACUCGACUUGUUAAAGUAUCGAACUCAAGUUCAAGUACAUACAAUCAAAGCUCGUUCAGUGUCUUAUAGUUACUAGUCUGGAUUUUCAAAAUUUGAAAUCAAAAGUUGCACAAUCUUAUAAACUUACAAGUUAUAAUUAACUGUCAAUUUGUCCGCUAAUCAAGUGAACAUUCAAUCUUUUUCAUUUAUUAAAUACAAGCACCACUACUAAUAUUUUAAUUGAGUAAUAGAUGACUUUAAGUCUGUAUUGUAUGCUUGCUAUUUUAGAAGAUAAGCAAUAUACAGGAAGGAAUAGAAGCUAUGUUUUCAGAACCGGACCGGAUAGCGACUCGGCCAAGGUCAGGGGUCAGGGGUCAAUGGGUUCGACCGGGGGUCGAUAGGGGUCGAACCGGAUGACGUCAUAAAUAAAAAUUAUUUAAAAAUUAAAAUAUUAUAUAUAUCAUAUCUAAUAAUAUAUUGAUAUUAAUAAAGGUAUAUUCAUACAUAUUUGAUGUUUCAAAUAUAUUUAACAAGAAAAUACAAAGAAAUUAGAACAAUCAAGUAGCAAUUUAUAUUAUUUAAUAAAUAUUAACAAGUUUAGAAUUAAAAUUAUGAAUUUAAUUGAAAAAUAACAUCAAAUUGUAGGACAAUAUUUAUAAAGUAUCAAAUAUUUGAGGUAUACGAAUAAGUUUUAACAAUUUAGGGGGCCAAAACAUAAUAUUAUAAAGUUUGAAUUUUUUUUUUUAAAAAUUACUGUUGAACCGGAAAAACCGGGGUUUUCCCGGUCAAACCCGGUCAAACCCGGUCAAACCCGGAUUUUGACCGGCUUUGACCGAGUUUUAAAAUUUCCGGUUUUCUAAGUUGACUCGGACCGGCUACCUGGCCGGUUCCCGGUUCGACCGGUCGACCGGCCGGUCCGGUCCGAGUUUGAAAACAGAGAAUAGAAGUGGAGUUAAGGAAGAAAAACUAUAGGUAUAUAUUUAUAAAAUUUACCUAUUAUAUAUAUUUCUGAACAUGUCGAGUCGGACAACGUGAAAAUCGUGAAUAGCUUGUUAAUAUUUUUGAAUUUGAAAUCAUAUUCAAAUUUGGAUUGAUACCUAAAUAAACAAGUUUGAGUGAGGUUGGCUCGAAUCGAAUUCAAGCCGAGUGCCAAGUUGCUUGUUUCGAUUUACAACUCUAAUUAUAGGGCUUGCCUCUUUCUCCUUGAGCUUUCUCCUUCUAUACAUAAGUUUUAGUACUACUGGACUCCUGGCCGUGGAUAAUGUUGUUGCCUCCUGUUCUUCUACAGUAAUUUGAUAAAGUAAAACAAUCUUCUAGAGCCUAAUAAAUGAAAAAUCAAUGCAUUAGUCUUCAAACUUUAGCGGGAUAAAUAGUAAGGUUCGGCCGACAAGCUUAAGUGGUCUUUUGUCCUUUACUUCAUAAAAUUUUGAUCAUUUAAUCUUCCUCUAGUUUAUGUUUGUUUUGCUAUUUUGGCUAAUAAUAUGAAAACAAAAAGACGAAAGUAGAAAGUUAAUAUUACAAUCAAUUAGUUACCCCAAGUACCAUUGUUGAGUUUCUGUGGAGAAAGAAAUUAAUAAAAAAAUAAUAUUAGAGCAGUUAGAAAAUAAUUGGUAUUAUUUAGUUUAUGAAAAAUACAGAAUAUAUUGGAUUGAAACUUGUGAGUAUAACAAAAGAAAAUUCCUAUCAGACAACUUCUGCUUAGACUGUAAUAGUUCACUUCUUAUAUAUAUAUAUAUAUAUAUAUAUAUAUAUAUAUAUAUAUAUAUAUAUAUAUAUUUUAGCCAUGUCAAUUAUUAAUUUUCAUGGGGAUAAUCUGGUCACUUUACAGAACUAUAUGAGGUACACAUGAUCGAACUUUUCACAAAUUGAAUUGUUCGACCCCAUUGCACCUAGUUGAAAAUAUUGUAAUGUUGGGUAGAUUGGUGCAAUUCAACCUUAAGGAGAAUAAGAUGAGAAAAAGAGUAGUAUUUUUCAAGAGGAUUUAUUCGAAUUAGCUCUUUAAUCGAAAUCUACCUCAAUUCGAAGCUUUAAUAUUCCUUCCUUAAAGUAGUGUCUGUUCGUGUGUAAUAGUGAAGGAAAGUGACGGAAAAUAAGUUUUUUUUUUCUCCCUUUUUGCACGCAAACAAAGCAAACAAAGUACCUUUUUUUUUUUUUCGAGGUGUCCCGCAGGGAGGGAGUGGACCUAAGGCAGUAAAGUUCGAACUAGGGACCUAAGGCUCCAUCUUCAACAAGCUUAAUCACUAGACCAAGCCCCGCAAACAAAGUACUUUGUUUAGUAGGAAAGUUACAAAAUUUUCUUGCACCUUUUUUGUAACUUUGGAGGAAAAAAAGUUAGUUGCACACAACAUUCCUAAUAACUAUAGCUAAUUAUAGUAAAAUCCCCAUAAAUUAAUAGCUUUGGGAUCACACAAAUUCUAUUAAUUUAAUGACGUAUUAAUUAAUCGAUAAAUUAAUAAUUUAUGGGAAAUAUUAUUUGCACUCUUAUUUUUGUUAUUCACACUCCCACUAUCAUUUUAGUUAUAUAAUUUUCAUUUAUUAGACUAUAUAAUAAAAUAAAUGUUGGGAGUGUAAAUUAACAAAAGAUAGAGUGCAAAUAAACAUUUUCCUAAUUUAUUAAUUUAUCGAGUGUACUCAACUAAAGUUUUUUUUUAAUUUAUAAAAAUAUGAAUUAUUUUAUUGAUAAAAGGAGGCUAAAAGUCUGAGGAACACAAACCAAUUCAUAUCUUUUUUAUUUUCAAUUAUAAUUUAAUUCUAUUGAUGUCUUCAAUGCACGUACAUAACUGAUGUCAUUUUAGACUCAUAUCUUAAGGAAAAAAGAAACAACAAUAGAUUCAUAGUUGAGGAAACUAUGAUAUAUAAAUUUAGUGGAUUAUUGAAUUAUGAUAUGAAUGGGACCAAAGGUUAUGUAGGGUUUUCAAAAAAAAUUUAUUAUCUUAUUAUUUUGUUAAAAUUAUUAAUUUAACUCGUUAGCCCAAAUUGGGAUUGAAAAAAUUACUUAUUUAAUAAAGGCUGUUAUUUAUUGAGGGUUACUGUAUCUAUUUCCUCUCAAAUUUUUUCUUCUUGUCAAAAAAACAUGCAUGAGAAAGUGAAUGUCUCUUUUCUUUACUUCACUUUCUUUCAUUUACUUUGCUACAUAAUUUUUUCUCUAAUCAAACAAAUAAUCUUUAUAAGUUCUUCGCAUCUUAUUUUAUUUGUUAUGGUCAGGUUUGUCCAUAGUUCAAAAGUUUUGACGUUUGACCACCUAAGAAAAUGCUCUUAAUUUAAACUCAAAUCUUAUUAGUGUCUUUUGAAAUUUCAAAUUCAAUCAUUUAAGUCUUUUAUGUUGAAGUAUGACUUUAGUUUCUUUUUUUUUUUCCAUUUUAAGGGCAAAAUACAGAUGUUUUUUUUUCCUUCCUCUUUUUAGGCCAUGAAAAAUAAUUUGGGAUGUAUGAAAACAGAAAUGAUAAUUAAGGAAAUGGGAGAACCAUGUUGUUUUUUAGUUCCUCUCUUUUGUUUUGAAGUGUUUAGUCCCUAACAGUUUAAAAUGUUAAAUUGUAGUUUUAUUCCAUAUUCAACCUAAUUCUCUAAUGAAAAGCUCUCAUAUGCAUUUUUUUUUUUCUGACGGAGUGGGUAUCCGGGCUUUUGACUCGACUAAUCCCACUUUGACCCGAGAGAGGAGGCCCCACUCCACUUCGAGCAUGGUAGCAAGGGGGCUCGAACCCUGGUUGCCCAGAUAAAUCUACCAUACCCUAAAAAGGGUAAGUCUCUCAUAUGCAGCUUACAUUGUAGAGGGCCAAAAAUCAUCAAGGAAAAAAAAGCAAGAAAAAAUUUGUUCGAAUCAUUUGUUGUUUUGCGUAACAAACCACAAAUAGAGCUUGGACUAGAACGCAUCUUUUUUCAAAUUUUGAGGGACCAAAACAAUUCAUUUCAUAUACGAUGAACUAAAAACGUACAAAGCAUAAAGAAAAGGGACUAGUUACGUGAUUUUCCCUUUCUCGUACGACUCCUUUUCGGUAUUUACAUUACAGAGCCAUCAGUACCUUUCAACCGCCGCGCUCCGCCGCUACCCACCACCGUCAAAAACCUCAAGUUGCAAUUGUUCAGCCUUUCCUUCACCGCCGACGAGAACCCUUUUAUCCUCCGUGGACUCCCAACCACCUCGAGCUCUUCAGCACUACCAAAUCCGAGGCAAUUGUGGAAAACUAUAAAUCUUAGGUAAGUUCAAUUAAAGUUUGUUCUUUGGUUAGCUUCUUCGUUUCCUUGCUAUUUUCAGGUUUAUAUUUUAAUUUUUCUCUGUUUCUGUAAGAUCAUUGUCCAAUAUCGUCUAUCCUGCUUCCUAAAGAUUGGCGCAAUUUUGGAAUUUGACAAUGUCAUUUAGCUGGUGAUCCACCGGUUUAUUAAUGUUAUACUCAAUGUAACUGGAAAAUUCUAUGAAAAGGGCGUUCUUGGAUGUCUAAUAGAUGAAGAUGGUGUAGUUUUAGGCUGUCUGUUUUGAAGGACAUUUGUACUUAUUUUUGUGCAAAAUGUGAAGCUAAAUGUACGCCCUGAAGGUGAGCAUUUUGUACCAAAAAUCAGUAUAACUGCCCUUGAUGUUAAGUAACGCAAAAUUAGGUCAUUUUAUGAAUUAAGCGUCUUUGGACGCCCUUUUCACUGAUUGUGUUAGGUUGUGUUAUUGUUUUGUUGAUUGGUGAAAUGGUGGAUGUUGAUGGUUGGAAUGUUGUUGUUUCCUAUGAUGUAAUUACGAUGUUUUUUGCUUACCUAGUUGCAGGAGUUCAGUGGGUUUUAAUCAUGAUCAGCAAAUUGCGGAUAAGAAACAUAGGAGUUGAAAUCCAAUCAUGGAAUGUAGUAGCAAAAAAAAAAAAAAAGGGUAGGAUAAUUUUUACAAGCCUAUAGGAGCGCAACAAAAGGGUAGGAAUGUACUUUAUGCUAAAAGCCUAUAGGAGUGCAAAUGCUUACUUCUGAGGUGGAUGUAGUGUAUGGCACAGAAUUCUCUCACUGAAUAAUUUUAUGACCAUGCGGCAUGAUAACUCAUUACAACAACUUGCAGUAUUUUCUGGAAACGGAAGUGCAACACUUUUUGAGUUGUUGGUCAUCCCCACCUCUUUAUCUUUAAGUUUUCUUGUUUUACCUUAUCUCUAGGUAAUUAAACAUGAUUGCUAAUUGCCCCAUAUUCUUCAGUAGUUUUUCAGAAAUGUUAUCUUCAUAAUCUAUUCUUUAAGGAAGUGCCGGAACUCAGCAUCACAUAUCUGUGGUGCUUGAUGUGGACCUCAUCUCAAGCUCAGAUUUGUUACACCCAGUAAGAAAGAUUCUAACCAUAUCUGACACAGCUAUAAUAUGAGCAGUUAGUCAAUUGGUUCAUAUCCUUUUGAGGCAUUGAAGGCCAUUUUUUGUUUUAAAAUUCCUUGUAGCAAAAAUGUACAUGCUGCAUGAACUUUUUUGUUUCCCCAAUCCGGAGAAUAUUGUUUUGGCAUUGUUGGCUACAUUUCUACUGCUGGAAUUUUAAGCUGCAUGAAUUUGCAAUCUUAUUAUAGUUCCCUAGAUUUUGGCCUAUCAGUGUGCAGGUUGAUUGCUCAGAGUUGUGUGAUAAUUUCCUUUUUCCUUUUCUCCCCAGGUUCCUUUAUAUUCUUAAAUGAUAUCGGUGAAAAUGGUGCUUCUUGAUAGUGGCUGUUAUUUUGGCUGGGUGUGCCCAUCUUUGUUGUUUAAAAACUUAGCAUGUCAUUACAAUGUCUGAGGUCUUAUUUUCUUCUAAAAGAUGCCUGAUAUUGUAAGCAUUGUGAAAGAGAAUUCUGAAUAUGGUGCCGACUCUUCUCAAGAUGAUGUUGGUGCCAUUGAGGAGAUGCCUGAGGAUACUAUUUUGUCUCGCCAAACAUCCGUGAACCUUGUCCCAUUCAUUGGCCAGCGGUUUGUCUCACAAGACGCUGCCUAUGAAUUUUAUUGUAGUUUUGCAAAGCAAUAUGGCUUCUCUAUCAGGCGUCAUCGCACCCGUGGAAAAGAUGGUGUGGGAAGGGGAGUUACAAGAAGGGAUUUUGCCUGCCAUCGGGGUGGGUUUCCUCAGUUAAAACCCUCUGAGGAUGGAAAAUUACAAAGGAAUCGAAAAUCAUCCCGCUGUGGAUGUCAAGCUUAUAUGAGGAUAGUUAAAAGAAUGGACUUUGAUGUCCCUGAAUGGCGUAUAACUGGUUUUAACAAUGUCCACAACCAUGAACUCUUGAAAUCAAAUGAGGUGCAGCUGCUACCAGCCUACUGCAUGAUAUCUGCUGAUGAUAAAAGUCGUAUUUGCAUGUUUGCUAAAGCUGGGAUGUCAGUCAGACAAAUGCUACGGUUAAUGGAGUUAGAAAAGGGUGUUAAAAUUGGUUGUCUUCCAUUCACUGAGAUUGAUGUGAGGAACUUGCUGCAAUCCAUCAGAAAUGUGGAUCAUGACAAUGACCCCAUUGACCUUCUCAAGUUAUGCAAGGAGAAGAAAGACAAAGAUCCAAACUUCAAAUAUAACUUUAAGAUAGAUGCUAGCAACAGGUUAGAGAACAUUGCAUGGUCAUAUGCUUCAUGUAUUAGGUUGUAUGAUGCUUUUGGAGAUGUCUUAGUAUUUGACACGACUCACCGCUUGGAUGCUUAUGAUAUGCUUCUUGGGAUCUGGAUUGGAGUGGACAAUCAUGGAAAGACUUGCUUGUUUGGUUGUGCACUUCUUCGAGAUGAAAACAUGCAAUCUUUCUCGUGGGCUUUGAAGGUAAGUACAGCAAUCCUCAGUUAUUGUGCAUUUUUCUGCUUGCUUUUGGGUUGUCUUUUAGCUUUAUAAUGAGUUUAGUGAAACACUUUACUGUACCUAGUCUGCUUGUCGUCAGUACCAUUUGUCUUGGAGGUUGGAUCUCCAUGUGCCUUGGGGAGUUAAUACUGUACGCAAAAAAAAGAUUGAUGUGAUAAGGCUUCUUGAAAUGAAGUUUGCCGAGACCAGUACUGAUACGACCUAAACUUUUGAUCCUGACAAAUUUGUUGGAGAUGGAUGCAAUUUCAGUUGUCUACCUCGGAUUUGGUUAGCGUAUUUACUUAUUGAUGAGUAUCCUCGUCUCUUCAUCAUCCAAAAUUUCUUUAAUAGUAAACUCAAAGCUGACCACACUGCAUUUACUAAGAGGGACACAAAUAUCUAGCCAAAUCUGUGCUCUGUUAAAAGUGAAUCAUGACGAACGUGAGCAGCUCCCUUUCCAUUCCCUCUUCCAUGCAUGUAUGUGUACACUUGCAGAUUAGUCUCGCCCUUGCUGUGAAUGGUAAUUAUCAAAUAUUCCUUUUGCUAAGAUGGCACCAAGUUGAUCAUGCCCCUAUUUAUGAUUGAGCACCAUUAAGGUGGCAACUGGGAGUAAAAUUCAGUUGAUUUGCUAUACUGGGUUAUAGGUCUAUUGCCAUAUUUACAUCUGUUUAAAAAGUUGGUUUUUCUGAUAAACUUCUUUCUUCCACUACAAAAGAAUUGCUGUUUUUGGUGUGUAGCAGACAUUUUUGAGCUUCAUGAAUGGUAAAGCUCCGGGGACCAUUUUGACUGACCAAAACAUGUGGCUUAAAGAAGCGCUGGCUGCUGAAAUGCCAAGGACCAAGCAUGCAUUCUGCAUCUGGCAUAUCAUCUCAAAGUUUUCUGACUGGUUCUCCACCUUACUUGCAUCACAGUAUGACAAGUGGAAAUCUGAGUUCCUUCGGCUUUAUAAUUUGCAUUCGGUUGAUGAAUUUGAAGUAGGAUGGAGACAAAUGAUUGACAGCUAUGGACUCCAUGGAAAUAAGCACGCAGUCAGUUUGUAUGCCUUGCGUAUGUUCUGGGCACUGCCGUACGUGAGAACUUUCUUCUUUGCAGGGAUGACAAAUACAAUACAUUCAGAGUCGAUAAAUUCCUAUAUCCAACGAUUUCUCAGUGCACAAUCUGCAGUUGAUAAUUUUGUGGAGCAGGUCAGUCACUUGCAACUGAUGUUUGAUGUUUGACAGUUACCUGUAUAUGAUUCGUUCUACUACUUGGUCUAGGUUGGAGCAGUUGUAGAUGCUAAAGAUCAACCAGGUGGAAAACAAAAGAUGCAGCAGAAGGUGCAGAAAGGUUUGCUUAAAACAGGUUCCCCAAUUGAGUUGCAUGCUGCCAAUAUUCUCACACCAUAUGCCUUCAACAAACUACAAGAGGAACUUGUCUUAGCACCACAAUAUGCAUCCCUUAUGGUAGAUGAGAGUUACUUCAUUGUCAGACACCAUACCGAAAUGGAUGGAGGGUGCAAGGUUUUAUGGGUUCCCCAUGAUGAGUUCAUUAGCUGUAGCUGCCACCAUUUUGAGUUCACAGGCAUCCUAUGUAGACAUGUUCUCCGUGUUCUGUCAACAAACAACUGUUUUCAUAUUCCCGAUCAGUAUUUGCCCCUGCGAUGGCGUGAAGUCCUAUCAGCAUCUUCAAAGGCCCCUUCUUCCUCAUCAGGGGACCAUCCGGGAAAGCUCCAUUUGUUUCAGUCGUUGAUUUCAACACUUAUUGCAGAAUCAAUUGAGACAGACGAACGCCUUGAUGUUGCUUGUGAGCAAGUUGAUUUUAUUUUGGCACGGAUCAAGGAAUUACCGGGACCAUCGAAUGGUACUAAAGAAAUCCCUUGUGACAGCCCUUCCGACUCACUUAUUCUCCCAGAAGUUGAAGAUUCUGACUGUGUGGCUCAAAGUUCUGCUUAUGAAUCUAUGAUAAAACUGAAAGAGAGAAGAUCCAGAGAUGGACUAGACUUUUACAGCAAGAGAAGACGAUGUUCAUUUUCUUGCUGUGGCCACUUUGGUCAUGAUGCCAAUGAUUGCCCUUUGAUGGGAAGUGAUGAUUUGAAUGGAGAUGGCCUAGGAUUUUUGUAGGUGAAAUGUCCAAAAAAUAAAAUAUAUGUAAUGGUAGUUUUUCCAGAAAAAAGUGUGAAGUUGGUUGUUCCACACUAUUCAGUCUAAUGCACAAUUGGACACACGUUGCGCAAAAUUUGAACUUUGUACCUUCCAGGAUUAAAAAGUAUCCACCUUCUAGGAUUAAAAAGUACCCAAAAUCUGUUCCUGUAAAAUCUUUAAUCAUGCUUCGAUGCCUUCGUGCACCUUCCUCAUCCCUGCCCAAGGGAAAAUAAAGGGAAAAUGCCAGUUGUCAUCUCCAAACUUUUGGUCAUGGAUACAUUUUGUCCUUGAACAUUUUGGCAUAACACAAUUGGCAUUUGAACUAUGAAUUUUUUUGCAGUUUCAUUCUCAGACAGAAAAUUAAUGGGAAUAUGCCAGUUUUCAUUCUCAAAUUUUGGGCCAUAGACAUAUUUCGUCCUCAAAUAACUGCAUGCCGGUUGCUACCAAUAACAGAUAGAAUCAACAUCAUAGCUGAAACACAUAAUUUGACUACGAAAUGUGUUCAUGACCCAAAAUUUUGGGAUAAAGCUGAAACACAUAAUUUGACUAUGAAAUGUGUUCAUGGCCCAAAUUUUUGGGAUAAAGUUGGCAUUUUCCCAUCCAAAUUGAUUAAUUUCCCAUUUGAGGAUAAAAUUUGUCAAAAAAUAAUAGUUCAAAUACUAAAUAUAUUAUGCCAAAAAGUUUGAGAGCGAAAUAUGUCCAUGGACCAAAGUUUUGGGAUGAUAACUGGUAUUUUCUCGGGAGAAAAACCCCUCAUCCAAUUAAAAAUGAAAAUAGCUUUUGUUUUAAACCAAGUUUGAGGGUUGGAUUGAAUUGGUAUCCAGUAUUUUAAUCAAAACAAAUGUAGUCUUCAAAGUACAUAAUUUUGACCAAAUUUAUCCCUAAUUUUUCAUUUAAACAAAUAUAGUCCUUUAAGUAUAUUAAUUGGCUAAGUUGGUUCUUAAUAUCUUAAAAACAUCUACUUCUAUGACCAAAAAAAAUACAGAAAAUUCUAUAAAAGUUAUAAAAAUAAUUAUACAAAAAACAAAAAUUUGAAAAACUAUAAAAACGUAAAAUAUGUGUAAGGUAAUAAUUUUUCAUCAAAUGAAGAUAAUUAUUUUUCUUAUUGCUAUAAUCAAAUUUUUUUUGUGACUUUUUUCAUUAAUUCUAUGUAAUGUUUUCAUAGAAUUUAAUAAUAAAGAAUUGAAGAACUCUAAAAAUGUUAAAUAUAUACUAUAAGGUAAUUACUUUAAUGACUCUAUUCGUUUUGGUUGAAAUAUUGAGAACAAAUUUAAUCUAAACCCCAAACUUUGAGGACUAAACAUGCAUUUAUUUCCUUCUUCCUUCUUUACUUGUUAUUCUCCCCAAAAAAAGGAAAAAAAAAAGGGACAAAGCACCAUAAAACCCUGAAAACCCACCUAAAACCCUAAUCAGAACCGCAACCCACCAAAAACGAUGGAUGCCAUAGCAGCCGCAGAAGAACGAAUAGUAAGCGAUAGAUUGAGGCAAAAAUUGAAUGAAGUCAAUACAGCUGCUCAAUCCCAACUCUCACCUGUCCAAGACCAUGUUAAUUUCACCCUUCAGGUCUUCUUCUGCACAAUUUUUUUUGGGUUCAUUUUUUCUUCAAAUAUUUGAGACAAUUGAUUAAUUGAAACGAUGUUUUUUUUUUUGCUUUUUUUUUUUUGGUUUUGGUGAGGCAGCAAGCUUAUUUCAAGUGUGCAUAUGAGUGUUUUGACAGAAGAAGAAAGAAUGAGGAGAUAAGUAACUGUGUGGAGCAUUGUAGCGUCCCUGUUCUUCAAGCCCAGAAUCUCGUUGAAUCUGAGAUGGCCAAGUUUCAGGUUACUUUUUAUGAUUACUUUUCUUGGUUUGGGCCUUUUUGGUUGCAGAGUUUUGAGUGUGGAUUGUAGAUUCUUGAAUCCUUGGUGUCUGUUGUAAGAUAUUUUACUAUAUGAUUUCCGGUAGAAUUUGUGAAUAUACUUGUGCAGAUAGUUGACGUUGGAUGUUGAUUAAGUAUUUCUUAGUCUAUUUGUUUUUCCUGUGGGCUUUGAAUGGCAAAAUGGGUGAGGUUAUCCUUCUUCGAAUGUUGGUUUGAUUGUUUAAUUGUGACGUUGUGGAGAAAGUCAUCAGGUCACUCCUCCCCCUCCCCCCCGCAUUGCAUUCAUGCCAGUGGAGCUCCCAAUGAUUGAACCAAAGAAAAGAGUUUCAGCCUUGUCUGAAUCCAGUUUGAUGAAAUUACUGCUAAACCUGAGGGAGUUAUGCAAUCUGCUGAUUUUUUUUUUCACAUUUAUCUGUCUCAGUUGUCUUGUUCGUUAGUUAACCUGUGAUAUGUUGAGACAGUUUAUUUGAAUACUGGUUAAUAUAAGCUUCUUAUGGUGAGCAUGAGCCAUAUAUUGUGUAAGAAGGGCUUGUGAUAUGCCCUUUUUUUUGCCUUAUUUGCCUUCAUGAUUAUGGCAGCUCCCAAUGAUCGGACCCCUUGUAAAAGUUUCAGCCUUGUCUGAACACAAUUUGAUGAAAUCCUUUUAAAUCUGAGGGAGUUAUGCAAUACUCUGAGUUCUAUUUUUCUUUUUGUGCUUCAAAAGAUAUACGUUACCAGGGGAAAAAAAUGCUUAUAGGUUGAACAAAACUUGUUUAUGUAGUCUUGCCUGCUGCAGUUGUAUGUGCAGGUAUGGCUUCAGUUACUGUCACCUGACACAGCUGCUAACUUACUUUUGUUUGGAUAGCCAACAUAAAAUUGUAAGCUGUGUCAAUGUUACUCAUGUAAGAGGAGGACAUUAAUCUGUAGUUUCCUGCCCAUAUUGCUCCCAAUGAUUGAAUCAAAGAUAAAAGUUUCAGCCUUGCCUGAAUAGAGUUUGUUGAUAUAGCUUCUGAGUCUGAGGGAGUUGCGGUAUUCAUUUUUCUGUAUCUUGCCUCGUUGAUGAUCUUACAAGUUGGGCAAUAUUUGUACUUGACAUUUUAUUCUGUGGUCGAGAGAUGCAUUGAUCUUAGCAUACUCUUCCAGUUAAGUUGUAAACACACCGUACUAUGGGAAAGUUCUUGUUUUAUCCUUGUCAGUUGCCAGAUGUAUGUUAUCUUUUUCCUCUCAACAAGGAAUUUAAACAUGUCAAAGUUGAAUUACAAGCAGAUAGAGAUAUAUGGAUUUGAGCUCUGUUUCUCUUUUCUACGUGGAAGAACUUUUUGCCAAACAAAAAGUGAAUAGGGAGAGCACAAGGUUUUAUCUUAUCUGUUCUUAAUGUUUUGUCUUUUUAAAUCUAGACUUAUAGGUGUUUAGUGGUUGCUACCAGAAGCAAUUGCACAUAUAUUCAAGACAAGUUAGUUCAGUAUAGGUGGUAUAACUUGUUAUGGUAGUUUAUAUUGUUGCUUGCUUGAUAGAAAGUUAUCACUUUUCUGUUCCUUGUGUAUCCUUGCUUAUGGCAGCUCCCAAUGAUUGGACCAAAUAUAAGUGUUUCAGCCUUGUCUGAAUGCUGCUUGAUGAAACAGCUUUCUAAUCUGAGGGAAUUAUGCAAUCUGCUGAUUUCUGUUUUUCUUUUUUUCAUUUUGCCUUCAGUUGGUCAUCGUACUCUGAACUUUUCUUGUAAUGUCAAGUGUAUAAUGUGAUUGGAAGAAACAUGCAUCCAUAAUUUCUCUUUUCCAGUUAAGUUUUGUAAAGCUCAAUGAUACAGGUGGAUGUUUAGUAUUUCAUCAUUUCUGACUGCAGAUUCUGAAGACUAGCUUAUAUAUGGAUACAUUUUACACUUGAGGUGCAGAUUCAUAAGAUUUGAGGGAAACAUAGAGAUGUAGGUGCAGAAUUUCAAUUUGUAAAUGUGAAGAAACACAGGCAGAAAUUAGUCUAUUGGAAGAACAAGAUGUUUGUUGCAUGUUUUCUGAUUUUGCUGCAAAUUGCAUAUCAUUUGGGAUCAAAAUUGCUGACAUAGUCAGACAAAUUAUUCUGAUGUUGGUUCACAUAAACCUAUUAUUGUUAGUGUCAACUGUUGUUUCUUUAAGUGGGAAGGAGUGAUUCCUUGUGUUUCCUUUACGUCCAUGCCUGUGCAGCUUCCACAAGAAAGAAGUUUCAGCCUUGCCUGCACAGUGUGAUGAAUUACCUCUCAUGUCUGCAGAAGUUAUGCUAUUUGCUGAGUUUUGUUUCUGGUUUUUGUUUGGUGUUGUAUCUUUGUUGAGUUACGUGUGAAUUUCUUCAGAGCUUAAAGUUCCAGAGUUUCUUUUUAGUUUUGUUUCUUUUAUCGCAUAGUGAAUGCAUGCCUUUCCCUUACGUGUGAUAGAAGUCAUAUUGCGAAGUCUUGGUUCUUUUUCAUGGCUUUGAGAUUGGAAGAUCUAAACAUCUUUUUACUUGAUUCAGGAACGCCUGAAUAGGGCUUUGAUGGUCUGCCAAGACAAAUUUGAGACAGCCAAGCUCCAACGAAGCAGGGGCGAUGCCAUGAAGGAUUUAGAAUCAUGUGUUGAUCAGUCAGUCCAGGACAGUGUCAAGACAUUGCCUUCGCUUGUCGAUAGACUGAAAACUGCUCUUUCAUUCAGUGAAUAGGUGCAAAACCUUAGAAUUCAGCUGUAUACGCUGAUAAACAACUCUAACCCUUCUGAUAGAGCAUUUUCAGCAUAUUGAUUUAUGCCAUUGUAUGAUGAGGCAAUCUUUGAAGUUUAUCCUAUCCGACGACAUAUUGUUUUGUUCAAUAGUAGAUAAUACAAAAUUUUUAAAUUUUAUAAUUCAAGAUUUAUGCAUAGAAAAUGAACAUGCCUUCUCAAAUCUGGUGCACCAGAAUCAAGGGUAAUUUUGGUAUACCAGACUCCGGAUUAGCAAUUCCGAGCAUCUCAGGCAAUACAAAACUUUGAGAACUUGUUUCUAGCAUGAUACUCUUCCACCCUGUACGGGUGGUGUAGCAUGACUAUGAGCAUGAAUCAUCCUGUAUAAUGUGAACAAGCAAAAAGCCUAAAGGCCCAGAGAUAGGCAGCAACUACCAGUUCCAGGAAUUGGGUGCAAGGCCUCCAUUUGCUUAACAACUAAAACUGCAAACUGCAGAAAACAUUUAUUUGAUUAGAAAGUCGAUACACAAAAAGAUGCCAAGGAAAAGAAACCAUGGCCAUACUGCAAAAAUAACAGCACCAGCAUGUAAAAUUAUACUAUGGUUUUAUAACGCACAGGAUUAAGCUCAACAUUCAUAUAGAAAAAUCCAUUUUUAAGUUCAAUAUCCAUUGGCAAACGGUACAGUAUGUUGAGUCCCAGACAUGGUUCAAAGUCGUGGUCGCGAUCCGGAUCGUUCCACAUCAGUCUUGGCAUAUUGGUCACGGUCUCGGCGAGACGCAAAUUUUUGAAAUAUUUAAUAUUCUAAAAAUUGUAAAAAAUAUGAUAAACAAAAAUAAUUAAAAAAAUUAGCAAAAAUAAUAAAAAUUCGAGUUGAUUCGGGAUGACUCGGAGCGACUUGACCGUUUCUAUCCGUUUCGGAGACAUCUCGGCCGAGUUCUCAGCGAUUCAUUAUCUCGAAAUCAUCUCGUUCCGAUAUCAAAUCAGAAAGCCCCGCUCCGGUAACAACUCGAGACUCGUCUCGAUCUCGACCGAGUCUUUGAACCAUGGUCACAAAUGACCUAAGCAGCAAGUGACCGGAGGGACUUACCAUACAAAGAACAUUAAAGUAAGCACAUAUUUUCAAGACAUCUCGUGGUUAUCAAUGGAGAAUCAAAUAAAUUUGUUAAUUCAAGUACUUGAAUUCAGUUUGUUAGGUAUUAAUACUAAUUGCCGUGUUGCCUGUGAGAUAACUUCAGUUGACCGGAAAAUGUGAAGAUGCACCUUGAUAAUUUGAGACACUAGUUCCUCUGUUGCUUCACAAACACCAGCUAGAAAGAGAUCACAAUGCAGCAUCUUCCUGGUAGUUCUAGAAAAUCUCAAUAUGGCAAGCUGAAAUAUUGGCAAAUUGUAUUUUACCAUUCAUAAACUUGAUAUCAUUAUUGUCGACUGCUGUUUAUUUGCAUUUGAUUUGUAUGCUCAUAAUAGGUACGCCUCACCAACAAUUUGAUGGUCAAAAACACAAAAUCAUCAGUCUUUCCAUUAACGUCCUGGCUAUUAUAAAUGUGGUAAAAAUGUCAAAGAGAACUCAUGGUUCCUUUUGCAGCCAAUUCUCCUGUGUAACAUGAGUUUGUUGUAAUCGUAUGAUCCAAAGUCCACCAAAGCUUCAGGUCCCAAAUCAUCACUACUGUGUCCUAAACAAAUGAACACACACAGACCCUUAGACCAUGACAUUCGCUGGUUCCAGAGAAAGUACGUUGCGUGGAUACUUCAACAAAAUUGCACUUCCACAAGAUAACUACAUGCAAGAAGCUCAAUAAUGAAAAAUUAUGUAGGUCUUUGUAUCGAACUGUUCUUGAACAAAGCUUGAUAGGCAAGAACAAUUACAAAAACAGUUUGUAUUCCACAUUCCAUCCAAGUCACGUUAUUAUAUGCACAACAAAUAUUACAUUAGGCCUUUGGUGCGAAGCCUUCUUGUGUCUCAGUCUUGCGUUUUUCUGCUUCAAAUUUAUCAAUGGCUACCU